rnacentral:rRNA from 1 species
GAUGAACGCUGGCGGCGUGCCUAAUACAUGCAAGUCGAGCGAACGGACGAGAAGCUUGCUCCUCUGAUGUUAGCGGCGGACGGGUGAGUAACACGUGGAUAACCUACCUAUAAGACUGGGAUAACUUCGGGAAACCGGAGCUAAUACCGGAUGAUAUUUUGAACCGCAUGGUUCAAUAGUGAAAGACGGUUUUGCUGUCACUUAUAGAUGGAUCCGCGCUGCAUUAGCUAGUUGGUAAGGUAACGGCUUACCAAGGCAACGAUGCAUAGCCGACCUGAGAGGGUGAUCGGCCACACUGGAACUGAGACACGGUCCAGACUCCUACGGGAGGCAGCAGUAGGGAAUCUUCCGCAAUGGGCGAAAGCCUGACGGAGCAACGCCGCGUGAGUGAUGAAGGUCUUCGGAUCGUAAAACUCUGUUAUUAGGGAAGAACAUAUGUGUAAGUAACUAUGCACAUCUUGACGGUACCUAAUCAGAAAGCCACGGCUAACUACGUG